rnacentral:rRNA from 1 species
AUGUCAGUGAUUACUCUAUCAAUGCAAUCAAAUCUACUCACUGGUUUGAUACCCAAGUUACCAAAUACAACUGAGGUAUUGGACAUGUCCCAUAACUCUUUAAAUGGGUUUGUGCCAAAUUUCCAAGCUCCGCAUUUGGAGGUUGCAAUUCUGUUCUCCAAUUCUAUAACUGGACUAUUCCAACGUCAAUUUGUCGACUGCGACAAUUGCGGGUCUUAG